UGGGGAAUAUUGGACAAUGGGCGAAAGCCUGAUCCAGCCAUGCCGCGUGUGUGAAGAAGGUCUUCGGAUUGUAAAGCACUUUAAGUUGGGAGGAAGGGCAGUAAGCGAAUACCUUGCUGUUUUGACGUUACCGACAGAAUAAGCACCGGCUAACUCUGUGCCAGCAGCCGCGGUAAUACAGAGGGUGCAAGCGUUAAUCGGAAUUACUGGGCGUAAAGCGCGCGUAGGUGGUUCGUUAAGUUGAAUGUGAAAGCCCCGGGCUCGACCUGGGAACUGCAUCCAAAACUGGCGGGCUAGAGUAGGGCAGAGGGUGGUGGAAUUUCCUGUGUAGCGGUGAAAUGCGUAGAUAUAGGAAGGAACACCAGUGGCGAAGGCGACCACCUGGGCUCAUACUGACACUGAGGUGCGAAAGCGUGGGGAGCAAACAGG
rnacentral:rRNA from 1 species